rnacentral:rRNA from 1 species
GACGAACGCUGGCGGCGUGCUUAACACAUGCAAGUCGAACGGAAAGGCCCUGCUUUUGUGGGGUGCUCGAGUGGCGAACGGGUGAGUAACACGUGAGUAACCUGCCCUUGACUUUGGGAUAACUUCAGGAAACUGGGGCUAAUACCGGAUAGGAGCUCCUGCUGCAUGGUGGGGGUUGGAAAGUUUCGGCGGUUGGGGAUGGACUCGCGGCUUAUCAGCUUGUUGGUGAGGUAGUGGCUUACCAAGGCUUUGACGGGUAGCCGGCCUGAGAGGGUGACCGGGCACAUUGGGACUGAGAUACGGCCCAGACUCCUACGGGAGGCAGCAGUGGGGAAUAUUGCACAAUGGGCGGAAGCCUGAUGCAGCAACGCCGAGUGCGGGAUGACGGCCUUCGGGUUGUAAACCGCUUUCGCCUGUGACGAAGCGUGAGUGACGGUAAUGGGUAAAGAAGCACCGGCUAACUACGU